rnacentral:rRNA from 1 species
CCCUUAGAUGUCCUGGGCUGCACGCGCGCUACACUGAUGUGUCCAGUAAGCACCUAACCUCUUCCGAAAGGAACGGGUAACCUUUGCAAAGCACAUCGUGAUGGGGAUAGAUUAUUGCAAUUAUUAGUCUUGAACGAGGAAUUCCUAGUAAGCACAAGUCAUCAGCUUGUGUUGAUUACGUCCCUGCCCUUUGUACACACCGCCCGUCGCUCCUACCGAUUGAGUGAUCCGGUGAGGCUCUGGGACCUGGACGGAAAGAGCGUUUCGCUUGUUCUGUUUGGGAAACUUGGUCGAACCUUAUCAUUUAGAGGAAGGAGAAGUCGUAACA